rnacentral:rRNA from 1 species
ACUCAAAGGAAUAGACGGGGGCCCGCACAAGCGGUGGAGCAUGUGGUUUAAUUCGACGCAACGCGCAGAACCUUACCCAGACUUGACAUGCUUGGAAGUCGGCCCAAAAGCUGAUGUGCUCGCAAGAGAACCAAGACACAGGUGCUGCAUGGCUGUCGUCAGCUCGUGUCGUGAGAUGUUGGGUUAAGUCCCGCAACGAGCGCAACCCUCGCCGUUAGUUGCUUCGCAAGAAGAUCUCUAACGGGACCGCCAGUGAUAAGCUGGAGGAAGGUGGGGAUGACGUCAAGUCCUCAUGGCCUUUAUGUCUGGGGCUACACACGUGCUACAAUGGCGAGUACAAAGCGUUGCCAACCCGCAAGGGGGAGCUAAUCGCAUAAAACUCGUCUCAGUUCGGAUUGGAGUCUGAAACUCGACUCCAUGAAGUCGGAAUCGCUAGUAAUCGUAGAUCAGCACGCUACGGUGAAUACGUUCCCGGGCCUUGUACACACCGCCCGU